rnacentral:misc_RNA from 1 species
AGUCGUAACAAGGUCUCCGUAGGUGAACCUGCGGAGGGAUCAUUAAAGAAUUACCAAUAACAGAAAAGAUUAGAGAUGGUGGAAAGUUCUUUCUACUAUCUAUCACUCUAGUCUUUUCUGAACAAACAAACAUACAUGACUAGGAAACAGAGAUGAGAAAUGAUUUGGUUUGGGGGGAGUGUCUCAUUGACAAGAAGUUCUUGGCUGAUAAGUAGCAUUGAUUUCAUCAAAUGUGAAUUUAUAAUCAAUACAACUUUCAACAACGGAUCUCUUGGCUCUCA